CCUACGGGAGGCAGCAGUGAGGAAUAUUGGUCAAUGGACGAGAGUCUGAACCAGCCAAGUAGCGUGAAGGAUGACUGCCCUAUGGGUUGUAAACUUCUUUUAUAUGGGAAUAAAAUGUUCCACGUGUGGGAUUUUGUAUGUACCAUAUGAAUAAGGAUCGGCUAACUCCGUGCCAGCAGCCGCGGUAAUAAGGAGGAUCCGAGCGUUAUCCGGAUUUAUUGGGUUUAAAGGGAGCGUAGGUGGAUUGUUAAGUUAGUUGUGAAAGUUUGCGGCUCAACCGUAAAAUUGCAGUUGAAACUGGCAGUCUUGAGUACAGUAGAGGUGGGCGGAAUUCGUGGUGUAGCGGUGAAAUGCUUAGAUAUCACGAAGAACUCCGAUUGCGAAGGCAGUUCACUGGACUGCAACUGACACUGAGGCUCGAAAGUGUGGGUAUCAAACAGGAUUAGAUACCCUAGAAGUC
rnacentral:rRNA from 1 species